AGUGAACGCUGGCGGUAGGCCUAACACAUGCAAGUCGAACGGCAGCACAGUAAGAGCUUGCUCUUACGGGUGGCGAGUGGCGGACGGGUGAGGAAUACAUCGGAAUCUACUUUUUCGUGGGGGAUAACGUAGGGAAACUUACGCUAAUACCGCAUACGACCUACGGGUGAAAGCAGGGGAUCUUCGGACCUUGCGCGAUUGAAUGAGCCGAUGUCGGAUUAGCUAGUUGGCGGGGUAAAGGCCCACCAAGGCGACGAUCCGUAGCUGGUCUGAGAGGAUGAUCAGCCACACUGGAACUGAGACACGGUCCAGACUCCUAAGGGAGGCAGCAGUGGGGAAUAUUGGACAAUGGGCGCAAGCCUGAUCCAGCCAUACCGCGUGGGUGAAGAAGGCCUUCGGGUUGUAAAGCCCUUUUGUUGGGAAAGAAAAGCAGCAGGUUAAUACCCAGCUGUUCUGACGGUACCAAAAGAAUAAGCACCGGCUAACUUCGUG
rnacentral:rRNA from 1 species